GACGAACGCUGGCGGCGUGCUUAACACAUGCAAGUCGAACGGAAAGGCCUGCUUUCCCUUGUGGAUUGCGGGUACUCGAGUGGCGAACGGGUGAGUAACACGUGAGUGAUCUGCCCCCAACUUGGGUAUAAGCCUGGGAAACUGGGUCUAAUUCCCGAUAGGACUGCAGGGUGGUGCCUGUGGUGGAAAACGAUUUUCUAGUGGUUGGGGAUGAGCUCGCGGCCUAUCAGCUUGUUGGUGGGGUAAUGGCCUACCAAGGCGGCGACGGGUAGCCGGCCUGGGAGGGUGGACGGCGACAUUGGGACUGAGAUACGGCCCAGAAUCCUACGGGAGGCAGCAGUGGGGAAUAUUGCACAAUGGGCGGAAGCCUGAUGCAGCGACGCCGCGUGGGGGAUGACGGCCUUCGGGUUGUAAACUCCUUUCGACCGCGAGGAAGCCACCUGGUUGGAAGGGUGGUGACGGUAGUGGUAGAAGAAGCACCGGCUAACUACGUG
rnacentral:rRNA from 1 species